GUGAGGAAUUUUGCGCAAUGGGGGAAACCCUGACGCAGCAACGCCGCGUGAGUGAUGAAGGCCUUCGGGUCGUAAAGCUCUGUCAAGUGGGAAGAACCUGCUCUGUGAUAACACCACGGGGCACCGACGGUACCACUGAAGGAAGCACCGGCUAACUCCGUGCCAGCAGCCGCGGUAAUACGGGGGGUGCUAGCGUUAUUCGGAAUCAUUGGGCGUAAAGGGCGCGUAGGCGGUCUUUUAAGUCAGAUGUGAAAGCCCUCGGCUUAACCGAGGAAGUGCAUUUGAUACUAAGAGACUUGAGUAUGGGAGAGGGAAGCGGAAUUCCUGGUGUAGCGGUGAAAUGCGUAGAUAUCAGGAGGAACACCGGUGGCGAAGGCGGCUUCCUGGACCAAUACUGACGCUGAGGCGCGAAGGCGUGGGGAGCAAACAGGAUUAGAAACCCGAGUAGUCC
rnacentral:rRNA from 1 species